GCGGCGGGACGAGGACCGGGAGAAGAAGGGGCGCCGCGGCGGGAGGGCAGCAACAGAGCGCUGCGCCACCGAGCGAGUGGACGGUGGUGUCACGUGCCUGGAGGGAGGAGCUGGAAGGCUGGGGAGGAGCGCGCGCUGGCGUCCUCCCCGCUGCAGCCUCCCCCCUCCACUCCCCCGCGGUGCUCCGGAGACCACGUGAGCUUCCCUCCCGGUCUAGCCUGGCCCCCUCGCUGACAACCGGCGCCUCUCGGUUGCCCUCUGGCCUGGCCUUUCGUGUCCGCAGAUCUCGGUUUCCUUCAGAGUCCUGCCUUCUGACAGGUGGCUCGAAGGCGUCCGGCAAGAAGAGCUCAGCUCGGCCUCUACUUGGUGAACCACUUCCCUGAUAAAAGUGUCACCUACCCCACCCCCGGUAGUUUUUUCAUCUUCCUCCACUUCUGUCCUCACCUCUUGUUACCCCUCACCCCCCUCAUCCUGUCUCAUAACAACAGUGGAGCCAAGUUACCGUGGGGAUAACAAGUAAUUUUGUCUACACACAGGAAGCUUGGGAUGAAGCGGUUUUUUAUAAUGAAGUCACCGGCCAUAUUUUUGCGAAGACUUCGCAUCAAUGGGAUGCACCUAUAGCCUAGUGUCUAAAGUUGAUUUGUUGAAACAUUAAAGCUAUUAUGUGUCAGCUUUCCUACACUAAAACAUUUUGCCACAUGACAAAUGUUGGUAAAUGUCAGUGGGGUAACUGUAACAUGAUUCACAAGCAGUUACAGAUGGUUCAUGUAAUCAGUUACAAAUGCUGGGCUUAAAAAAAAAAAUAGACUUGUACACACGGUACUGUCCUGAUGCCAGCCACUUAGACGUGCAGUUAGUAGAUCUACAGCACCUGCAUUUAUCACUCGCUGCUUGGAGACCAUAAUUAUCUGAGUCUUGCGAAUUUCGCAUUUAUAUUAAUACGUAGCACUUUUCAAUUAAACAUGAUUGUGUGGCCAUGUGGGUGGGCGCGGGUGCUCACCUCAUUACUAUAGUUGUGGAAAUCGGAUGACAACUUGAGUGAGUGCUCUCUUUCCAGGGUUCCAGAGAUAAACUCAGGUAUCAGGUAGUCAACUCUCACACAGCUAGCACCCGUCGAGUUAUAUCACCGGUUUAUACUUUUUACAUAAUUGAAUAGUAAUAUGAAGAGAAUAUUGAAGCGUAAACUCCACAUUAUUAGUACUUAAGUUUGGGAGAUUUUAUGAAAUUAGAGGAACUCUCUGAUACCAGGACAUUAAUGCUAGAGGAGAGACUCCAAACAAUAUUGAUUCCGAGGCUUAUUGGAACUAAGGAAUUGUAAUGAUGUUAUCACAUGCCGAAAACAACUGAGGCUCCUGACAUCCCAGCACCUAGAAGGCUGCAUCAGAAGAGUCAUAAGCAGAAUGCUAGUCAACUCUACAACGAUGGCAUUUCAGACACCUAAGGACUGGCCUGCUGUGAUGGUGGCAACCUACAUCCUUAAUACCAGCCCUUGAGAGGCAGAGGCAGGCAGAUCUUUGUGACUUCGAGGCCCACACGGUCUACACAGUGAGUUCCAAGCCAUCUACAGCUACAGACUGAGGCCCUGUCUUCAAAAAAAAAAAAAAAGUAUAAAGCCAAGCCCAGUAGGCUAUCCCUGGCUUCUGAUGGGAUUUCUUGAUAUUUACCUCAUAGCAUACGUCCAUUCUCUAGAGAAUUCUGUGUGAGCUUUUUCCCAUGGAAUCCAACUAAAAGGUUGACUUUUCUUCACUGAAGAGUGGUAGCAAGAAUAAACUAGCAAGUACAUGU
ensembl:antisense